rnacentral:rRNA from 1 species
GACGAACGCUGGCGGCGUGCUUAACACAUGCAAGUCAAGGGGGCCCAGCAAUGGGCAACCGGCGAACGGGUGCGUAACACGUGAGCAACCUACCGAACUGUGGGGGAUAGCCGGCCUAACGGCCGAGUAAUACCGCAUACGCUCUCAGUGAGGCAUUUCAUUGAGAGGAAACCUACGGGACAGAUCGAGGGGCUCGCGGCCUAUCAGCUAGUUGGCGAGGUAACGGCNCACCAAGGCAACGACGGGUAGCUGGUCUGAGAGGAUGGCCAGCCACAUUGGGACUGAGAUACGGCCCAGACUCCUACGGGAGGCAGCAGUGGGGAAUCUUGCGCAAUGGCCUAACGGCUGACGCAGCGACGCCGCGUGUGGGAUGAAGCUCUUCGGAGUGUAAACCACUGUUGCCCGGGACGAACAGCUCGAUUAGUCGAGCCUGACGGUACCGGGUGAGGAAGCACCGGCUAACUCCGUGCCAGCAGCAGCCGCCGCC